rnacentral:rRNA from 1 species
GUGGGGAAUUUUGGACAAUGGGCGCAAGCCUGAUCCAGCAAUGCCGCGUGCAGGAAGAAGGCCUUCGGGUUGUAAACUGCUUUUGUACGGAACGAAAAGGCUCUGGCUAAUACCUGGAGCUCAUGACGGUACCGUAAGAAUAAGCACCGGCUAACUACGUGCCAGCAGCCGCGGUAAUACGUAGGGUGCGAGCGUUAAUCGGAAUUACUGGGCGUAAAGCGUGCGCAGGCGGUGCUGUAAGACAGGCGUGAAAGCCCCGUGCUCAACCUGGGAAUUGCCUUUGUGACUGCAAGGCUGGAGUGCGGCAGAGGGGGAUGGAAUUCCGCGUGUAGCAGUGAAAUGCGUAGAUAUGCGGAGGAACACCGAUGGCGAAGGCAAUCCCCUGGGCCUGCACUGACGCUCAUGCACGAAAGCGUGGGGAGCAAACAGGAUUAGAUACCCCAGUAGUCC